AAAAAAGAAAUGUAGCGAGGAAUUAACUGAAAUUAGUUUUAUUUCUGUGAUUCUGGAAGAGAGAUUAGUACGGAUAUCGUCGGGCGAAAUCCUGUCAAAAUGUGUACACUGAGAAUAAGGACCUCUCGUGGUCAACGGCUGCAUUAUCAGUACACCUUGUCUCUAGCGCUCUUGGUGGGAGAAACGCACAUAGGUUAGGAUUGCUUUUGGUGCAACAUCAGGAAUCCUCAACCUUUCUGAGAAUUUCGAAGGGAUUCAGUUACUGUCUUAUUGUUACGUUCUAUUUAGUUGCCGACGAGAAGGUAGCGUUAACUGACGUUUAAUGCAACUGGCAAUAAGUUCCACUUUCGGCUAACCUGCUAUAUGCGGGAAUACUGGCACGGGAAAGGAUUAAAGUUGUUCGAAAGUAAAUUAACAAUAUGUAAUGAUUUAUUCAAAUCUUACUCGAUUUCGAUAUUGACAACUGACUGACAGACUGACAGACAUAAAAUUCUUCGGUUGACAAAAUGAUAACUAACUCUUCGAAUAGUAAUUAUUCGGUUGACUUCUUUGAGUCGCUAGAUUUAUUUAUAUCUGUCGGAGAUGAAAAAACGUCGGGGUCUUUCUUUUGAAAAUGUUUGGGAAGAUCCCCAACGUUUGUUCAAACUGCCGACUUUGUUUAGCAUUUAAAUUGUCUUACUAUCGUUAUAAAAACAUAGUUAGAUAAGUUUUCGCAAGAUAUAGCUUUUAGCAGCUUUAACUGCCUUUCACUUCAAAUACUGUAAACACGGUCUCAAAUAAACGUUUUAAAUUAUCUUGAUUUGAAAGAAAUUAUCAAUUUUACUUUCGCUUUACGGAUCGUGCGGGGCGCGGGACGUGACACUUAUACUAUUUUAUUCUUUUAAUACUUACCAAUACUGACCAAUAUUUAACAAUUUUCUCAAACUCUUCCGUCAUUUUGGAUAACUUAUUCCUUAAACUAAUGAGAGUUGGAAAGUAUUUAAGGAUAUGGACAAUGGGAGGGUUUUAAAUUAACUAGUGAUUAAACACUUUGUCCAUUUGCAAAAUAAGGUCGUUUUAUUCAAUCGAAUGUGCAAGUUUACAACAGUCGUACAACUUUACAUACAAUUCAUAAUUUUCUGCAUAAUAAUUUGUGUAACUGAGUAAUUUUAUUCAUAACGUUUCAUCGUCAUGGUAUCGUCGAAGGAAAGUGUUAAUUCUUUGUCUUUCAGGUGUUUCUUUUCGAUGUGUAAGAAUUCAAAUUAAAGCUUAAUUAAAUUUCAAAUUAUAUAGGUAAUUAUAGAUAUCUCCGGACAGGGUUACGAAUAAAUAACUGGUAUGUUCACAUGUAGGACAACCUUUAUUAUUUAAUACAGUACUAAUUAUAACAUAAUACUACGCAUUAUUACAAUAUUAGUAUUAUUAUAUUGGUUGUAAUCUGAGAUUUUCUUCUUAAUGGUGUUUUUUGCGGCGUGGGUGCGUGCGUGCCGUUGCGUGCAUGCGUGUACGCGCGCGCACUUGUGUGUACGUAUCUAUAUAUGAUAGUUUUCAUACAAAUAAACAAAUAAAUACAUACGUAUGUAUAAACUAUAUACAUAUACAUAUACAUAUACAUAUUUAUUCGUUUAUUCGUAAUACCCCUACACUUAGUGCAUUACAUGUACACGUAUGUAUGUGUUUAUAUGUAUACAUAUAUGAUAUUUAUUAUACCCUUGUAUUAUUACGCGGUACAUGAAUUCAUAUCUUAUCUCUUAUAAUCUUAUAAAUCUAAUUCGAAUACAUAUAGUGUAUAUAGAUAUAUAUAUAGAUAUAUAUUUAUAUAUCAUCAGGAUGGUAUAAAUAAUAUUGUAUUUCAUAAAAGCACUUUUUGUUGCUUAUAAUAUUAUUGUUUUUUUUUCUUCUUUAAUUAUCGCAUCGCUUUUUCCCCCACAUAUUUCCCCUAACGCUCUUUCUUUCUUUCACUUCGUUUCUUUUUUUUCUUCUACUAUACGCGACAUCCGUAAAGGAAUUUUCUUGCUUUUUUUUUACAUUCUUAAAAGAGUUUUACGUCUUUCUUUCUUUCGGCUUUCUUACUAGCUUCGGAAGGAAAACUUAAGACACAUUACGAACUACAGAUACCGAGAAUCUUCUUCUUUUUUUUCUUACAUCUUUUUCCUCGUCUUCUCCUUUUUCUUUAAAUACUAGACAAUCGUUUUCGCGUUGUAUGAUCGCUCCUUUCUCAUCAAUCUCUUUCGAAUAUCGGUCGAUAUCACGCAAACCCCCGUUCCCGCCCCUGUCCCCACCCUCGCCCGAGAUGUAGGUGAGAAAUUCCUUUCGUGCAGUUCGCUAGUUCUAGCCGUUGAUUUCUUUUUUUGCUUUUUAAUUUUUUUGUUAUUUUAUUCUUCGUUCAUUCGCUCGCACGCACACACACACAGACACACACACGUUACAGGCAGACGUGUGUGCGCGCGAGUCCAGCGCUAUGCAAGUGUGGUACUUUGGAAGACUAUCAUAUAACUCACAAUGUUCUCCUAAUCCAUGACCAUUUAUUCUAUUGCAUUUUUAGAAACGACCGCAUGCGUCAUAGGGAAAGUUUGUUGCAAUCGGACUGCGAAUAUUUAUAGAAAUUUGUAUUUCUAUAAGUAGAACGAAAGGAAUCUUGAUGAAAGGAACUAUAGGCGAAGAAUUGUUUCUAUUGUGAUAUUGUUACACCGUAGUGUAAUUUGUAUCGCAACGAUAACGUAUCCGGCAGAGACAAGCAAGUUAAGUGACUAUAAAUAAGCGUGUCUGUUCGAUGUUAGGUUGUUGGGACGUUUGAAAUAUGCGUUUCUCAGACACAUUUUGAAAGAUUUUCUGAAUUUUAUGAACUGUCAACUAACUAACUUACCAUACGGACGCAUGAAAAUCCGCAGUCUAAUUGCAACGUUUAACACGAUAGAGGCGAUAAAAGAAGGAAAUGCGAUAACGUUGUGAAGAGUAAACCUAAACGCUAUAGCGGAAAAAAGGAGAAGUGGUAGAGAUAAAGAAGCGAUAAGAAGAUACAAAAUGGACGAAAUAGAUUUGCACAAUAGAAGAAGUGAUCAAAGAGGUUAGAAGAAAAUUGUUUGCUACGUAUGACAUCCUUCCAGGACACUACACCGGCAUAGUAACGAGUACAGAGUGUCCUACAAGGUAUGGCAUAUGCGGCAAAUGAAAGAUAGGAAAUAUGGUUUAAUCGAAACAAGAAAUACGAGCUUAUCGAUGCCCUUACCUAAUCUCUACUAUUAUUAGUUUACUUUAUUUGCUUGCUCUUCCUUUUAUCGAAUCAGUUUUUAAUUUGCAAAAUUUUUGCUCCAUGUUCGAAUGGCCCGGGAGAAUUACACGCGUUUUCCAAUAAGUUACGCAGUUCUUUCGUUUUAUUUUACUUUUUUUUCAUUAUCUUUUUUCUAGCAAUUAAUUGUACCGCCAUUAAAAAAUAUCUGAUAUUUGUCUCUUAAUGAUUUAUAAACUUUAAACCAGAGAAUGCUCGUGUCACUUUAGAGUUAGUUUAUAGAAAUUACGUUCGCAUUUUUUUAUAUCCUUUGGAUAGAUAUUAAACACUUUUUUUUUUGUUCUCUCAAAUACAUCAUACCUUAUGAAACACAUUUAUGCUUUCGCCCUUACCCGCUUCAAUAAAUAUCUCCGUAUGUGUUACUCCCUCGCAAUCGUCCUCCUCAAUUGUUAUUUUUUUUUUUAUUUAUUUUUCUUUUUUGUUUGGCUGGUCCACUAACAUUCCUAGAAAAAAUACUCUCUGCAGUCCUCUAUGUUUAUAAGCUAAGAUUUUUUUUUUGUUCCUCUAUUUUCUGUUUUUGGUUUCCCGUCGUUCUUCUAUUUCGUUUUCCUUCGUUCCUUCGUCAAAACUGUCCAUUCACUUAUCCCUCGUUUUAACUUUAUCUUUCCCCGAUUUUUAAUACUUUUAAGAACACCUUCUCCCCGUUCUCCGUCUUACGUACAUAUGAAACCUCGCAAUAGGUUCGUGCAAGCUACUUGCAACCACUUCAAACAAAGAACGUAACGCGAUAACGGUACCUGAAUUUUAAUCGCUACCGUGCGAUCGAAUCACAUUGAUCGUUCGUAUUUCCGCGAUUUACACACGCGAUACUGUGUAUGUAUAUUGACGGUCAUUAUACAUCGAUACGGCGAUUAUACAUCGUAAUCGAGAUACACGCGGUGAAACGUUAACUAACCUCGUACACGAUUUGUCGUUCGACUAGUUUGCAAGAAAGCGAAGAGAGAAAAACUUACAACUGAUGGUUAGUUUGAUUAUAAUAAGAUUACAAAUUAUCUAGUAUCACAAACAUCGUUAUAGAUCGCGAAAAUGCCCGUGGAUAAACGAAUCGAGCCGAUUGGAAGGAAAUAAUCCAAUUCGUCAAAUGAACUCCUGCUUAUACAGGCGGUUCCAGAACCUGCGAGCAUAGCUUCACUGGUGGAACACCCUGUAUGUAUGUUUAUACGAUAUAAACGCGUAGCUUUCUCGUAUCGCGAGAGAGGAAGAAGGGAAGGAGGAAACAUGAAAUACAAUAUUUCUUCUAUCGAGACGUUUUUAUCUUGGAAUCACACUCGCAGCCUACCCUUCGCGAUGAUUAAUUACAGUUCCAUUGCUUGAACGUUUAGAUCGAUCAUUAUACGGUAGAACUUCAUUUAUCUCAAAGAGAUUUUAAUUAAUGCGACUCAUUAACUGGACUUUAGCUGCUUGAAUUUACUUAGUCGAACGUGAGCUCCUGUUGUGUGAACGGAAAAUAACAAGUAGUUGGUGAGCUCUUGGUAUUACGUCAACUCCAAUUAUACGUAUAAACUGCUGCUUGUCCUCCAAGUACGAAUAAAUGGAGUUCCACUGUAUAUUGAUUUGAUGAGUGGAGGAUCAGUGUUAUAAAUAUAAUAUGGAAUAACCAGAAAUGGUUCGAUCAACCAAGAAAAGCCAGAGAAGUUGAAUCCUAUAAUACUCGUAAAUCAUGGAUAAAAUAAUAUUUAUUUAUUACUUGUUGCUUCAAUGAAACUUUCCUUUCCUCAAUGAAAUGUACAUUGCCGUUAAAAUGUCAAAAUCGUAUUUGGACAUUUGGUUAUCUUUCACAAGAUGUAUUUUAAUGAUAUUGAAUUACCAUAUACAUAUGUAUUUAAAGUUUAUACUAGUAAAAUUUACGUUUUACAAAUUUAUAUGGAAUUCUACAGCAUAAAAUCUGAUCUCUGCUGUCAAUAUUUUCGUUCAUCGCUGUACACGGAAACAGCAUAUGUUACAGGAAUAUUAUAAUUUUCAAAGAGAAUCGUAUGAAUUAAGGGAAACUUGACACAAUUAACGAGUAAGUUCCAAUCAAAUUGUGAUAAUUAAAUAAUUUAAGCGGGAAUUAUGUUUAGUUGUAUUCCUGUGAUCAUUCACGAACCCUGAACCCCUCAACCAUCUAUUAAUACACGAACAAUACGAAAGAGAAGUAUUUUUUUUUUCUAAAAUUCUCUCUUUAAUUAAAAUUCGAGUAAACGUUUAAGAUAUGUUAGAAAAAACUAUAGAACGUAGAUUAAUAUUCUUCAGUGAUAAUCAAGAUAAAAGGAUCAUUUUUCGUGUGUUUAAUAUUUUCAAAUAAUUUCUGACUUCAGAAUAAUAUUUGAAAGAAAAGAGCGAAUAAAGAAAUAAAAAUAACCUAUCGUCGUAAUAGUCUUUUGAAGUAUCAAAUCUUCUUUUUCCUUUUCAAACUCAUUGGGAUUCGUUGAAAUAUAAAAGUCGGGCAGUUAAACGAAUGAUUAUUUUUACUCUAUUUACCUCUAAUCACGAUCAGUAUAAUCGAUAUUAAAGCGAUGAUUGGAAUCCUUAGACUUUAGAGUUCCGAACAAGCGAAUGAAAUGAAAUUUCAAACAAGUAUCAAGUACCCUGUACAAUCGUUAGUCGUUAGUUACGUAUAGAUAUUUAACGUUAUCUCCAAUGAUACAGAAAGUCUUCUUUGAUUCGUUAGUUUUCGAAAACGAAUAUAUUCGGUAAAAUCACGAAACAAACAUGAAGGAUCUUCGAAUUCGAAAAAACAACUCGUAGAAUACACAGAAUGAAACUGUAACUGUAAUAGUUAUCAGGGAAAAAGAUUGCCCCCCUUGUCGAGAGCUACGAAAUUUAACAAGGGACACGAUUCUACUAAUCGAACUGUGGUUUUCACCUCUUCAUCAGAGAAAUGCUGUCAAGCAGGAAAGUCUAAAAAAAUAUUUAUAUUCGCAGUUUAUUAUUAAUCUGCUCUCAGUCAGUCUCAAAUUUUGGAGAUGAAUUAUUACCUCCACGACUAUGGAAAAAUAUAAUUGUAAAUUCAAUGAUAAGUUCUUAUUGUAAGAGAUGCUUUUUCAUAGCUAGACUGCGGAUUUUUUUGCGUUUAUAGGAAAUUUGCAAGUGCAAAAUUGCACAGAAUAAACGUGAUAUGAAAAAAUAUGUAAAAUGUCCAAAGUAUAAUACUUUCUAUGAUAUUUAGUAGGUAAAAUAAUCUUCUACCGAGAUUAUAAUUUUUUAAUUGUAUUCCCAAAAUUGUGAAUUUACGUAAAAAUCCGCUAUCUACUUAUAGCCUUUUAAUUGUUACGUAGUUUGAUAAUGACACAUGGAUAAAAAAAUUAAAAAAGACAAAUUUUUCAUCAACACCUUCGAUACGUCAACUGUAUGCUUCAUAGAAAGAGCGUCUUUUUAGUUAAAAAAAUAAUGCAUUCAGUCGAUAUUACGGCACUUCCGAUAAUUUUUCUAUUACGUUCUAGUUUGAUCUCGCGUGUGAUUGUAUUUAGAAAUCGAUAGUUCAACUGAGAUACAGUUUUCGUUGAAACAAAUUUCACACUCUUCCAAGAAGACGAGAAUUUAUUCGUUGGAAAUAAGUAUUAUGGUAAUUGUACUAUUAUCAUAGCAAACGUAUAAUAUUACUAUAUUAAAAUUGAGUACAUACACUGCUGUUCAUAAAUGUUAAGACAUUUACAGAAUAUCAGAUAAAUAUGGAAAGUUAUUAUUAAGAAAUUAUUGAUUUUUCAUGUUCAAUUAAUUAAUUAUGUAACUAAUACUAUUAUAUUAUUAAUCGAUGAAACAAUAAAUGUAUUUCUUUCAAGUAAAACUGAUCUUGAAUUUUAGAGAAUUACAUGUUUCCUGUCAUUAUUAUUGCUUGUGCAUUUCGAGAUACCUAACCUCCUAAAAUGAACUAUUUACGCUAGUUUGAUGUCUUUUCGAAAUUCCAAGAUAUCACACGAUUUACGUCGAUCGUAAAUAAAAGUCACGACAAGUAGAAAAAACGUUCGCCGUUUUCUUCUUUUGAUUAUUAUUGUUCCCUGCUAUAUUGGCACUUGAUAUAUAGUCACAAUAAAGAGUGUAAAAUCACAGAAGGAAACAAAUCGCGGGACAAUGCGUUGUGAUGAAGAUCGUAAGGACGGUUCAACAGUUUGGGAAGAAUUGAAAUUUAUAAUGGAUUAAGUCGAAUCGUGUCCCUUGCCACUCUUUUAAUAUCUUACUUUGUAUUGAAACACACAGAGCAAAUAUACGUUUCUUUGAUAUUUUUCCCUCGAUGUUGGCAAAGCAAAAUCUUCCUUGUUAUUUUACGUUCUGAUUGUUGCUCAAAUGACGCCAAGUUACAAUGAAUGCUACCCACUUGGAAAAAAUAUUUAAAUAGUAUCGAUUCUUUAUGAUUUUUCUAAAGUAAGGCCUAACGGUGUAGGUACAGUGGUCACAGACGCGCACACACUUUCAAAUACCGUUUCACAAGCGGUAUUUCUCCUCGUUUUCUCCUUUCUUUUUUAAAUCGUUAACCGAUUAUCCUCGAGUAUUUCUGCAUCGAAUAAUAUUUUAAGUUACCUUCAAGUCACCGACGAUCAUUUCACAAUAUUUUCGAUAAUUUCGACGAUGCUUUCAUCGAUAUCGAAUUUUUUCGGCACUAUAUCUAGUCACGCGUUUAAAUCAUCGAUGAUAAUUUCCCCCAAUACAUUCAUUUCUUUAUGUAAGAAGUGAUGAAAAUGAUAAAAUAUUAUUAUAUCACACUUAUAAUGUCAUGCCUCGUUUAAGUUAUACUAAGUUACUAACCUUAUAUCGUGACUUUAUAUUGUUAGUACAAUAUAUAUAUUGAAUUCUUAGAGAAUUAUUAUUAUAUAUACUAAAGAAUUAUUAUUAGAGAUAUAUACUAUAAUAAAGCUACUUGAAUUGAAGUAACUUGAGACCACUUUAUCAGUGUACUUAUUAUUUACUUAACUUGAAAUAUUUCUUUCAAAUUUAUGUGCUUACACUCAUUAGUCAAACAAUGGUUAAAUGUUAUUUUUGUAACUUUCCAUUCUUAGACCUUCAGAUCCUUCUUUAAUGAUUUUGAUGUUCUCCUAACAUAGGACAUUAUAUUAAUAUAAAUUAAGAAAAAUCGAAAUAGGACAAUGAUGAUGAUGACAAACCUAUAUUCAUAAAUAUGAAUUAUGAUCGAUGAUUUUAACGUGUGGGUAUGUACGCAAGGUUAACUCGCUUAAGCUGUCGAUGAAAUGAUUGUCUGUAAUCUAGAGGUAACCUAAAUAAUAUACGCACAUAAUAGAUCGCGUUGUAUCGGUGAAAACGCGACUUUUUAGGCUUCGAUUUCUAAUUCGUCAUUCGUGAAGUUGCUUGAAACGUAGCAAGGCUACAACAAAGCUUCGUACCAUUUCAUCUCUCUCUCUCUCUCGAUUCCAUUUUAGAAUUGUCUCUAAUCGAUAAAUCACAUCUCUCGUCUCUUCGAUUCGACAGUUUCUCUUAAGAGUAUUUCUCUAAAUAGAAAUCUCUCGUGAUCUCUUAAAACUAAUCUGCCUGUUUAAAUCUUAUUCGCCUUAUUUUAAGUUUACCGCGUUUUUAUACAUAUUUCUUGUCAAUUUUUCAUUUUUUUUUUCAACGUAAGUAAAUACUCUUGAUUUACCAUUUACGACAUCCCACGAUUACAAUCUACGGUUCGUUAUACUAUAACCUAUGUUUCAUAACUUCCAAGCGCGGUAAAUUUCGAUUUACGAACGUAAUAUUUUUUUUCUCAAGAACAUCUUUUUGGUGUCCCACCGAAUGAAAGUCUCCUUUUACUUUGUUUUCAAGAGCGAGCAAGACUAGAAUCUCUUAUUAAUAUCACUGUUUAUGUCUAACUAAAGAAAGAAAAGAAAAUUUAAAAUUAAUCGAAGAAAAGGAGGAAUAAUUAUUAAAUCUCAUAUCAAGUUUCUUGAUUAUAUGUACCUUGCUUAUUUCUUUUUUAUCCAUUAUCGAAAAGCUUUUAAGAAACACCUCUCAAGGAUUUUCGAUCAAACGGUGACAAUGACGUUACGUCCUACUUUGGAAACAUUUUUGUUUUAAAGGAUGUAAAUAAUGAAAAUAGUUCAUAAUUGUACCCGUUUUUGUCGUUCCUAGGCCGUUUUUAUACCGGUAAUUGGAACAUAAGCUGAUUUGCAUUAAUAGAAUAAAUUUUUGAAUCCCAGAAAAUAAUACUAUAAAAAAUUUUUUAAUAUUCCAAUGAUUAAACAGAAACGAUGCCGAUUCGCGAAAUUCAUUGGAUCGCAAAUAAAUAAGAGAAAUGAAAUGUAAAGAUUAUUAUACAUGUACAUAUGUGAUGAUAAACUUUGAAAAAUUUACACACUAGUAACGAAGCAGCUUUUAAUAGUCGCUAGUAUCGAUUGAUAUAUCGUUUAUCGCUAAAUCUAGGGAUAUUCAUUUCUUUUAUGUUGCACCAUUAUAUGAAUGUACAGUAUUACUACACUUUCCAUUCGUACUUGUGUAUUUCAUCUUUGCGAUUAAGUACACUGACUAAAAUACUUUGUUGAAAUACUUUUAACGGGAAUAUAGUUCGACGAAAAGAGAAACAUAUGCGUAGAGGGCACAAGUAUAGUUAUUUUUGUCUGCUAUACUUCACGUGGCCUGUUUUUCUCCAUUUCCUAUUGCGCUUUUUUUGAGCAAAUAAUAUCAUGUUAUAAAUUAUUCUUGAUAUUUCCUUUCUUCUCUAAACUAUCAAGGAAACGACGAAUAUUUUCAAGGAACAAAAUAAAAGAAGAAUGAAAGAGAAUAUUCGGAGAGACGAUGAUAUGGAACACUCUUAGAUACAUGUAAUACUUCGGAAAUCUCGGAAAUAAGGUAAUUAUCGUAAGCGUUCAAUUCGAUUUUGAACGUUAUGGCGACGAUAAGUCUUCUCUUAUUUCAUUUUCCCCGAUCUUUCCAAACAAAUAGAUACGAGACUCACUUUUAUAAAUACGGAGCCGUUAGAUUAUCACCAAAUAGUUGCACAUUAUUAUACACCGGUUUAGUCUUACACGCGUUCAUCUCGACUUUUUCUAAUGAAAAAGGACAACUAAUGUUUUCUCUGCAUUUAUAGUCAUCAAUGCAGAUAUGUAUGUCGAUAAAAAUGCGCAUUCGUAACGUAACCAACAAAUGUACAGAAAGUCAUUCACAUUCGUAAUAAAUAUUUGUUUGAUUUAAUAAAACUUUUACUCGAUUAAGUUUGAGAUUUGCCGACUUAUUUUCAUUGUGCUAUUUCUCUGUCAUCACAGGACAAGAAACAAUAUAGACAGCAUGCUGAAAACAAGGUUAUAUAAGGUAUCUUUAUAAAAUUGAUUGUCAUACAAAUAUCGCAAGCGAUAUUACCAAACUUGUGUCACGUUGCUCAUUAUAAGUUUGUCGGUAAAACACAGGUAAACGUUUGGAGUGUAGCACGAAACAGAAAAAUAGGACAUGAUUAACAUUACAUUUGUUGGAUAUAAUUAACACGUUGACUGCCACGACAGCCGUAUUCGGAUGUCAACAAAGUUUCUGGUCAGGCCACGAAACGCAUAUUCGGGUGUCGCUUAUUUCACUACUUGCGAAGGAUCGUCGUAGGUAUUUAAAAAGAUAUUCCAUAAUAAUAAAAUUGUUGAGUUGUUAUAAAAGUAAUACGAAAAUGGUUUGUUACAAAAGUAAUACGAAAAUGUUUAUUAAAAAAAUUAUUUAGCAUGUAAAACUUUAAACCAUUCUAUGCAUAGCUGAGGUUAGUCGGGACAAUUUGGUCAAUAAGUUGUUGUUUUCUUCAAAUUCUUUCGUGCCUUUGUUCGGUCCAUUCGACGUCUUUUAUUUGCAUAAUAUAGUUUGCAUGCGCGUGUAAUGCUUCUUCCGCAAUC